GCAGUCGAGCGGAGUGAUGGUGCUUGCACUAUCACUUAGCGGCGGACGGGUGAGUAAUGCUUAGGAAUCUGCCUAUUAGUGGGGGACAACAUUUCGAAAGGAAUGCUAAUACCGCAUACGUCCUACGGGAGAAAGCAGGGGAUCUUCGGACCUUGCGCUAAUAGAUGAGCCUAAGUCGGAUUAGCUAGUUGGUGGGGUAAAGGCCUACCAAGGCGACGAUCUGUAGCGGGUCUGAGAGGAUGAUCCGCCACACUGGGACUGAGACACGGCCCAGACUCCUACGGGAGGCAGCAGUGGGGAAUAUUGGACAAUGGGCGCAAGCCUGAUCCAGCCAUGCCGCGUGUGUGAAGAAGGCCUUAUGGUUGUAAAGCACUUUAAGCGAGGAGGAGGCUACUGAGGUUAAUACCUUCAGAUAGUGGACGUUACUCGCAGAAUAAGCACCGGCUAACUCUGUGCCAGCAGCCGCGGUAAUACAGAGGGUGCAAGCGUUAAUCGGAUUUACUGGGCGUAAAGCGCGCGUAGGCGGCUAAUUAAGUCAAAUGUGAAAUCCCCGAGCUUAACUUGGGAAUUGCAUUCGAUACUGGUUAGCUAGAGUGUGGGAGAGGAUGGUAGAAUUCCAGGUGUAGCGGUGAAAUGCGUAGAGAUCU
rnacentral:rRNA from 1 species